rnacentral:rRNA from 1 species
CAAUAGCGUAUAUUAAAGUUGUUGCAGUUAAAAAGCUCGUAGUUGGAUUUGUGGCGUACGGUGUGUUCCGGGCACUUGUUGUCUGAGUAACCUGCUGUUGCCAUCCUAGGGUGGAACCUGUGUGGCAUUAGGUUGUCGUGCAGGGGAUGCCCAUCAUUUACUGUGAAAAAAUUAGAGUGUUCAAAGCAGGCUUAUGCCGUUGAAUAUAUUAGCAUGGAAUAAUGAGAUAGGACUUUUUUGCUAUUUUGUUGGUUUGCGCAAAGAGGUAAUGAUUAAUAGGGACAGUUGGGGGUAUUCGUAUUCCAUUGUCAGAGGUGAAAUUCUUGGAUUUUUGGAAGACGAACUACUGCGAAAGCAUUUACCAAGGAUGUUUUCAUUAA